GAAAUGUAAAUAUGCAGGACAGAUAUCUGGAACAUUUGAGUCAAUUGACAGUGCUUUUGGGGUUUGUAAUGAUAUUAGGGUCAUAUCGAUUUACAGGAACAACAUCUAGAACAUUUGAGUCAAUUGACAGAAAAUGAAGACAGUCGAAGAAGAUGAUGAAAUUAAGUUGCACAUCAUUGCCACUAUUACAGCACUUGUACCAAAAUAUCUUGCUUAUGCUAGAUUGGUAUAAUUGAAUCUUUUAGCAUCUAUAUAUGGUUUUUUUACAAUUGAUAUGCAAUCAUUUACAUAGGUCGUAGGUAGGUGAAUUUCUAUUAAACUGGUGUAUUUAAAGUUUUCCUAGAUUCAUAGGCAUGUUGGUCCAAGGAUGCAGUAUGAGUUAUGAAGUAGUAAAUUUUGCCUCAACAAGUUAUACUAAUGACAUUAUUUUUGUCGCAUUUCUAAGUUAUUAAUUGUAUAAAUACAAUUGUGUUCUUGGCUUUCU
rnacentral:lncRNA from 1 species